rnacentral:tRNA from 1 species
GCGGGAGUAGCUCAAUGGCAGAGCUCCAGCCUUCCAAGCUGGCGGUGCGGGUUCGAUUCCCGUCUCUCGCUCCA